rnacentral:rRNA from 1 species
UGCAGUUUUCCGCAGGAAGCGAAAGGCUGAGUAACACGUAGGUAACCUGCCUUUAGGUGGGGCACACCCUCGGGAAACUGAGGUUAAUUCCCCAUAGAUUUAAGAUACUGGAAUGUUCUUAAGUCAAAAGUUUCGACGCCUAAAGAUGGGCCUGCGUUCUAUCAGGUUGUUGGUAGUGUAAAGGACUACCAAGCCUACGACGGAUAGGGGCAGUGAGAGCUGGAGCCCCCAGAUGGGAACUGAGACACGGUCCCAAGCCCUACGGGGUGCAGCAGGCGCGAAACCUCCGCAAUGCACGCAAGUGUGACGGGGGAACUCCAAGUGUUUCUGUUUUUAAAACAGUUUCUUUUCUGAAGUGUAAAUAGCUUCAGGAAUAAGAGCUGGGAAAGACAGGUGCCAGCCGCCGCGG